GUUCGCGCGUGUUAUUUUGCGUCGGCUCGCUCCGAGAUUUCCGACCGCUCGUCGCACACGAAUAUUUUUAGAUAAUACUAAGUGUGAACAAUUUAUUCGCAAGGUAACCAGUGAUCGCGCGCACUUUUGUGGAUAUCGGUGUAUGCGGGCGCAUCUAUGGCAACUCGAUGUGGCGAAGACGGCGAGCCCGUCGGCGGUAGCGCUCGGGCGAGAGCUGCCGGCGGCGGAGACGUCCCGAUAGACAUAACUUCGGCGACAUGACUGGCGCACAUUUCAAAUUUCGAACGCUGAGCCGCUUCGGACGGCUGCAAUUUUGAACCUGUGGUGUUGGAAAAAAAAUAUCGAGGAUCUAGGAUGCUGUGCGAAUUGCGCCUGAGUCAGCAUGAUGUCAUUGCUACUUAAUGGGAGCGUCCCGGCUCGUCAUACCCCAAUCCUGCAUACCAGCGAAUCGAGCGAUGACAAAUCCAUUCAUAUUUCUCUAUUGUGCGUUGCGGUAGUGUUUGACAAUUGACUUAUUAGUCUUAGUUAAGCGUAAGAAUUCUACGGGAAUCAUAAGAUUGUACUUACUGCCUGUAUACAUGAUAGUUAUAUUUAUUAAGUCGUAAUUAAUAUAAACAUUAAGAUUGAAGAAUUUCAA